GUUAAGGAUGUAGGGUGAGGCCGGGGGUAACUCCGGGGGUUGCGGGGUGCAGCGGCAGCGGGUUGGGAUCAGGCCCUGUCAGCAUGUGUGUUUGUGCUUCUGCCCACCCGUGUAUUGUCCCCUGUGUCCGUGUCCUGGCUGCUGUGAGAGCCACUGUUCCUGUCGUGGCCCUGGCGCUGACCGCGACCUCCUCUGCCAACCCGCCCCGUUCCACGCAGGUGCUCCGGGCUGCACCGCCCGCAGACCGAGGCCGAGGUGCUGGAGCAGAGCGCGCAGACGCUGCGCGCCCACCUGGGGGCCCUGCUGAGCGCGCUCAGCCGCUCGGUUCGCGCGUGCCCCGCCGUGGUGCGCGCCACCUUCCGCCAGCUCUUCCGGCGCGUGCGCGAGCGCUUCCCCGGCGCCCAGCACGAGAAUGUACCGUUCAUCGCCGUCACCAGCUUCCUGUGCCUGCGCUUCUUCUCUCCCGCCAUCAUGUCGCCCAAGCUCUUCCACCUGCGGGAGCGCCACGCGGACGCCCGCACCAGCCGCACCCUGCUCCUGUU
rnacentral:lncRNA from 1 species